AAACUUGAGAGUUUGAUCCUGGCUCAGAACGAACGCUGGCGGCAUGCCUAACACAUGCAAGUCGAACGAACCCUUCGGGGUUAGUGGCGCACGGGUGCGUAACGCGUGGGAAUCUGCCCCUCGGUUCGGAAUAACAGUUAGAAAUGACUGCUAAUACCGGAUGAUGACGAAAGUCCAAAGAUUUAUCGCCGAGGGAUGAGCCCGCGUAGGAUUAGCUAGUUGGUGGGGUAAAGGCCUACCAAGGCGACGAUCCUUAGCUGGUCUGAGAGGAUGAUCAGCCACACUGGGACUGAGACACGGCCCAGACUCCUACGGGAGGCAGCAGUGGGGAAUAUUGGACAAUCGGCGCAAGCCUGAUCCAGCCAUGCCGCGUGAGUGAUGAAGGCCUUAGGGUUGUAAAGCUCUUUUGUACGGGAAGAUAAUGACGGUACCGUAAGAAUAAGCCCCGGCUAACUUCGUGCCAGCAGCCGCGGUAAUACGAAGGGGGCUAGCGUUGUUCGGAAUUACUGGGCGUAAAGCGCACGUAGGCGGAUAUUUAAGUCAGGGGUGAAAUCCCAGAGCUCAACUCUGGAACUGCCUU
rnacentral:rRNA from 1 species